AGAGCAACAUUUCUCAACAGCUGGUCCAUGGACCCGUGCUGGUCCCUGAGAUCUCCCUGACAGUUUAAGAAGGCAGCAUGCCAGCCGCUGGUAUCAAAAAAGUUGAGAAAUGCUGAUCUAUAGAGUUUAACUAUCUCAAUCUAUGGCAUGGGUAAAGAAUUUGUUGUCUUUUAGCUAGCCAAAGUGGCCUUUUUUUCAAAGUGUAUAUUUGUGGCAGGGGAGAAACAGUUUAUUACAUUUUUCUUAUCUAGUAUUUUAUCGACAGCUCUCUGACCAAUUGGGAACUGUUGUGUACUGAAUGAGGUGGGGAAAUGAUACUGCUGAAAAGAAAUGCUGUAGUGAAGAGCAAUGCUGUCAGCUGGAGAGCCAGGCAGAGAAUGACAGACCACAGAAUCCUCCAGAGUCUUCAGCCAAUGAUAUCAUUACAUUCCAGUGCUAUAGCCCCAGCAGAGAAGACUACUCAAGCUAGUAGAACAAUCAGGAAUACAAGCCAGGUCUUCUGAGUCCCAGUCCAGUGCUCUAACCUUCAGGCAAUAUUGCCUCUCAUUGAAAGCAAUUAAAUCGAUGGGAGCUGGUUCAUAUUUGCUUCUGAAAAUCCAACUAUGUACCUAUCUGCAU